CACAUCUCCACUUGCCGCAUCCGUUUCCGGCAUACUCACCUCUAACCUCAAAAUCCCCCCUUUUUAUCUGAUACUUCUGGGAUCCAUUUUGCACUUCAUCGCAGUGGGAUUAACAUGCACGCUGCCAACCCAUUCAUUUGAGGUCUCGCCGCAGUAGUACGGUUACGAAUCACUUAUGGGACUUGGGUUUGGGUUGAGUUUGACUACCAUACUAACACUUGCGCCGCUGGUAAUAAAGGAGCCUCAUUUAGGAGUAGCAAUGGGGGCUCUCACACAAGUUCGCGUUUUGGCCAGCACGAUAUCACUAGCAAUAUUAUACGAUGACUGAUUGUCCCUGGUAUCUUGCUUGCUGAACUGCCAUUGAUCCGCCUUUUUGACAAUGUAGCUCGACAAUCCUCAACAACUGUCUCAGACCAAAGAUGGCCUCCGUGAUCAGCCCCUCUCAACUUCGAGCCAUCUCAGACUCGCUCGCUGCAAUUGACGAUUUAACAUCCGCCCAACGGAUCGCCGUGCGGUAGGCGUUUGGGGAGGGGUAUAAUAAGCAAAAUGUAUUCUUAACUGCGUUUUCAGGCGUGUCGGUUUUAGCAUCAUUGUUUAUAUGGGAGAAGAAACC
rnacentral:sRNA from 1 species